GGAAAUCAAACAUGCAACAAUUAGUGAACACUGACGACUAAAGGUUGUCCAUCAAAUGUCCAUCAAAGAUUGAUAAAUCAUAAAACAUUAUACAGCACAACACAACAUACUAAUAAUCUAAUUAAUAGACUUCUAUAUUUAUACAAUAUAUAAUCCCUCUAUAUCCCUUUCAGUAGGUCUACGAUACAAAAUCCCUCUUUGUAAUUGUUAAAUGUUCUUGUUCCAAGAACAGUAGAAAACAGUAAUGAGGUACAGCAGAAAUACAGUAAUGAGGUACAGUAGAAAUACAGAAAUGAGGUACAGUAGAAAUACAGUAAUGAGGUACAGUAGAAAUACAGUAAUGAGGUACAGUAGAAAUACAGUAAUGAGGUACAGUAAAAAUACAAUUGUGACGUAGAGUAAAUUUCAACAUUACUCACUGUGUUAAUCAUGUGGUGUUUAACACUAGAGGGAGAACAAACACCAGGGAGGGAGGGUAGAGAGAGGGUAGAGGGAGAACACACACCAGGGAGGGAGGGUAGAGAGAGGAGGGAGAGGGAACACAGACCAGGGAGGGAGGGAGAACACACACCAGGGAGGGAGGGUAGAGAGAGGGUAGAGGGAGAACACAGACCAGGGAGGGAGGGUAGAGAGAGGGUAGAGGGAGAACACAGACCAGGGAGGGAGGGUAGAGAGAGGGUAGAGGGAGAACACAGACCAGGGAGGGAGGGUAGAGAGAGGGUAGAGGGAGAACACACAGGGACCAGGGAGGGAGGGUAGAGAGAGGGUAGAGGGAGAACACAGACCAGGGAGGGAGGGUAGAGAGAGGGUAGAGGGAGAACACAGACCAGGGAGGGAGGGUAGAGAGAGGGUAGAGGGAGAACACAGACCAGGGAGGGAGGAGGGAGAACACAGACCAGGGAGG
ensembl:lncRNA